CGGAUGCUGACGAGUGGCGAACGGGUGAGUAAUACAUCGGAACGUGCCCGAUCGUGGGGGAUAACGAAGCGAAAGCUUUGCUAAUACCGCAUAAGAUCUAAGGAUGAAAGCAGGGGACCGCAAGGCCUUGCGCGAACGGAGCGGCCGAUGGCAGAUUAGGUAGUUGGUGGGAUAAAAGCUUACCAAGCCGACGAUCUGUAGCUGGUCUGAGAGGACGACCAGCCACACUGGGACUGAGACACGGCCCAGACUCCUACGGGAGGCAGCAGUGGGGAAUUUUGGACAAUGGGCGAAAGCCUGAUCCAGCCAUGCCGCGUGCAGGAUGAAGGCCUUCGGGUUGUAAACUGCUUUUGUACGGAACGAAAAGACUCUGGUUAAUACCUGGGGUCCAUGACGGUACCGUAAGAAUAAGCACCGGCUAACUACGUGCCAGCAGCCGCGGUAAUACGUAGGGUGCAAGCGUUAAUCGGAAUUACUGGGCGUAAAGCGUGCGCAGGCGGUUAUAUAAGACAGAUGUGAAAUCCCCGGGCUCAACCUGGGAACUGCAUUUGUGACUGUAUAGCUAGAGUACGGUAGAGGGGGAUGGAAUUCCGCGUGUAGCAGUGAAAUGCGUAGAUAUGCGGAGGAACACCGAUGGCGAAGGCAAUCCCCUGGACCUGUACUGACGCUCAUGCACGAAAGCGUGGGGAGCAAACAG
rnacentral:rRNA from 1 species